rnacentral:piRNA from 1 species
UCUUAGUGAUCCAGCCUGUCAAUCAGCAC